UGGCACAAGCUGUUACGAGACAAACCAGACGGAAGCUCACACGAUCCGAAGGACGUUGCCUUGUUGGAAGAAGCUGGAAAAAAAUUGGAGACUACAAACUCAAAACUGCCAAAGAUUACGAAGUUCCAAGGCAGUUUUGCAAGACAGUACUGCAGCAGUUUUUAAUGGUGCUUGAGUGCAAAUUGGAGGUGAACCUUUGAGAAUUUAAUAGCGCUCAUGUUUUUUCUCUAAGAAUUUUUCCUUGGAAGAUUAUAUAUUUAUGAGAAAUUAGAAACAACAUUAGAAAGUGCAUCCCUUGGCAGCUAAUAAACUGCAACAUAAAUAGCAUGGUUAAGAUUAAUUUGCAACUGAAUCGGUUUGUUUGAAAACGUUGUAUGACCUAAUCUUGUUUCUGACGAUGAACCUGAUCGUGAUGUUGGUCGCAAAACUUUUUUACGAAAUUGCCAUUGCAAAAUCUUCUUGCAAUAUUUUGGAACACAGUCGUUGUUUCAAAGUUGUCUUAACUUGCAUAAGUUCGGUCACAAAAUUGGUUCAAAGAACAAAUUAAGACUUUCCUAACGUAACCUGCUUUUUUUAAAUGCCUGCAAGUCAUUUUGUGAGCAUUUUAGUAUUAUUAUUGACUUCACUGCAUUUUAAACAAAUAGAAUAUAUCCUUUUUCAGGAUAUUUAUUUUCCCUGUAACAUUGAUAUUUUCUAAAGUAAAUUGAAACUUCAUACAUUGGGUCCUCUUCACUCACAAAAUCACUGCUCUGUAAGGCGAGUUUAAGUUUUAAAAUCUUCAAAGCUGCUCUAAUUUUAUUCAAAAGUUCUUUAUUUUCAAAAGUAAAAAAAAAAAAAAAAAAAAAAACUUGUCAAUGUUUAUACUGUUUAUCAUUUGUCAUCAGAUUUUUAGAUUGAAAAAUGAUUUCAACACAAGGGUUUUAGCUCUUAGAAGAGAAAAAUUGCAGUGCAUCACAGUAUUAUGGAAGUAUCAUAAAAAAUUGGCAAAACUGAAUGAAGAGCUACCUCCUGAGUAUGAGAAGAUUCUAUUGCCUGUGCCAGAAAUUAAUGUUUCUCUGGAAUACCCAGAUAGAGAUUUUCAGGCUCCUAAAGAAGCAGGCUACUCUCAUGAAGAAAUCAGAGCAGGCUAUCUCACAAUUUGAUGAAAAGUUAGAGAGCCUAGCUGAAGAAAGAGUAAAACUCUCUGUCGACAUAAUUUUCCAGGAGCUUUACCAACUCACCUUGAAUCAAGAAUUAAUCAUCAUUAAGAAAUAUGAAAACCGAGAAAAUGAGGGUCUUGCAGAUGUUGUGUGCAAGCUGGAAGAAAAAAGCAGGGAACAAGAUCUUGUAAGAACUCUGUAUGAUAAGAUUUGUUGCAAACAAAAGCUAUAA
rnacentral:lncRNA from 1 species